AAGAGCAAUUCCUAGAGAGGGACUCAGAAUGAGCCAUAAGUAACUGACAUAUGUGGAGCUGGGGAGCUGAGAGCCUAGGUGCUGAAGGCAUGAUCUAGGUAGGUGGUGGAUGUACUACAGCAAUUAUGUUCAUGAUUUACCUCAACUUCCUAAGGAGUAGUUGCCACAAGUGAGGUGCUAGAUAAAUUAUUGUGGGAGGAAAGGAGUUUAAAUUGCAUCCAGAUAAAAUUGUAGAGUUACUGACAGAUUUUAAAUAGGAUUUAUAUUCUACAUCAGUAGUCUCACAGUUCUGUGUCCCUGAGCAAUUGAUUUCAUUCAAAAGAUCAUUCUAGCUGCAUUGUAGAAAGUGGAAGAUGAGCAGGACCUCACUAGACAUUGGGAGAUCAGUUAGAAGACUGAUUCAGUCAUCAAAGUGGGAAGGAAUGAGGGACAGGCCAGGGCAGAGAGAGGAGAAGAGAAGGUUGAACUUGGGGUAGAGAGAGGAAAGUCCAGCUAAGCAGCACAGAGAGAACCAGCAGAGGGAAACAAAUUCAAGGAAAAUGGCUAGGUGAUGAGCAAAGACAUAUUCCUAAAGGAGAUUAGGAAAAUGAAGGCCAAGGGGAAGCAAACAGAUGUCACUGUAAAGAAGUCAUAGAUGGCCUUGGAUUACAUUGUCUUGGCCAAACCUGAGGGCACAGUUUUUCACAACCUACAUGUGGGAAAAAACCCCAAAACCCACAUUUAAUUUUUUUUUUUUUUUUUUGAGACGGAGUCUCGCUCUUUCACCCAGGCCGGACUGCAGUGGUGCUAUCUCGGCUCACUGCAAGCUCCGCCUCGCGGGUUCAUGCCAUUCUCCUGCCUUAGUCUCCCGAGUAGCUGGAACUACAGGCGCCUGCCACUGUGCCCAGCUAAUUUUUUUUUUCUGUAUUUUUAGUAGAGAUGGUGUUUCACCGUGUUAACUAGGAUGGUCUCGAUCUCCUGACCUCGUGAUCC
rnacentral:lncRNA from 1 species